rnacentral:rRNA from 1 species
CCUACGGGGGGCAGCAGUAGGGAAUCUUCCGCAAUGGACGAAAGUCUGACGGAGCAACGCCGCGUGAGUGAUGAAGGUUUUCGGAUCGUAAAACUCUGUUGUCAGGGAAGAACAAGUACCGGAGUAACUGCCGGUACCUUGACGGUACCUGACCAGAAAGCCACGGCUAACUACGUGCCAGCAGCCGCGGUAAUACGUAGGUGGCAAGCGUUGUCCGGAAUUAUUGGGCGUAAAGCGCGCGCAGGCGGUUCCUUAAGUCUGAUGUGAAAGCCCCCGGCUCAACCGGGGAGGGUCAUUGGAAACUGGGGAACUUGAGUGCAGAAGAGAAGAGUGGAAUUCCACGUGUAGCGGUGAAAUGCGUAGAGAUGUGGAGGAACACCAGUGGCGAAGGCGACUCUUUGGUCUGUAACUGACGCUGAGGCGCGAAAGCGUGGGGAGCAAACAGGAUUAGAUACCCUGGUAGUCAG